AAUCAUUAGGGACAGUUCCUCUAUAGAAUUUGAUUGCUUAAUUUCCCAUCCCAGCCAUUUUAUGGCUGGAACAGUCAUACAUAGGAAUGUUAUUAUCACUGCUAAUGAGGUCUCCCAUGACCCUGAAGGGAUGCAGAUGCAGAGAGAUAAAAGGUUCCAGACCAGAAGUCUGUCUAUCUAAACUAUCAGAGACGUAACUCUGUGUUGUUGUUUUUUUGUCGCACUGCUUUGCUUUAUCUUGGCCAGGUCGCAGUUGUAAAUGAGAACUUGUUCUUAACUGGCCUACCUGGUUAAAUAAAGGUGUUCUUAACUGGCCUACCUGGUUAAAUAAAGGUGUUCUUAACUGGCCUACCUGGUUAAAUAAAGGUGAAAUAAAAUAAUAUCAAUGUUUCACAACCUGUCAGCGAGUCACAUUUUGUAUUGUAUAUAAGACAGAACAUUUUCAGACAAUUUUUUUAUCGAGAUAACGUUAAUUUGUUUGGGGAUUUUUCGGUUCUCUCCCCUCUUAAGAAACUGGGAUUUUCUAAGACAUAUUUUCUUUGACAGAUGGAAUGAUUUAUGGGACUCAGCUAAGUUGUAAAUCAUCCUACCCUCACAGCUCAGAAAAGCAAAUGACCCCCUUCACCUUUAUCCUAAAUUAGGGAACAUCUCUCCCUAGCUUCCUCUCUUAAAGCAGUGAAAAUGUCUGUACUGUCAAGUAAGUAUGGGAGCAUUAACACUUGGUAGAAGACUGAGCACACACACACACACACACACACACACACACACACACACACACUCCCCCUCCCCACUCCCCAAAGCCCAGACUGUGGGAACUAAAUGCCUGUCAGAACAGGAGCCCUUACCACCUCCACUGGCUUGUGUCAACAACACUGAAAAGUGGGGGGCUCGGUGAGUGUGUCUGCCAGGUGUGUGUGUGUGUCUGCCAGGUGUGUGUGUGUGUCUGCCAGGUGUAUGUGUGUCUGCCAGGUGUGUGUGAGUGUGUCUGCCAGGUGUGUGUGAGUCUGUCUGCCAGGUGUGUGUGAGUGUGUCUGCCAGGUGUGUGUGAGUGUGUGUGCCAGGUGUGUGUGAGUGUGUCUGCCAGGUGUGUGUGAGUGUGUCUGCCAGGUGUGUGUGAGUGUGUCUGCCAGGUGUGUGUGUGUAUCUGCCAGGUGUGUGUGUGUGUCUGCCAGGUGUGUGUGAGUGUGUCUGCCAGGUGUGUGUGAGUGUGUCUGCCAGGUGUAUGUGAGUGUGUCUGCCAGGUGUAAGUGUGUCUGCCAGGUGUGUGUGUCUGCCAGGUGUGUGUGAGUGAGUCUGCCAGGCGUGAGUGUGUCUGCCAGGUGUGUGAGUGUGUCUCCAGGUGUGUGAGUGUGUCUCCAGGUGUGUGAGUGUGUCUGCCAGGUGUGUGAGUGUCUGCCAGAUGUAUGUGUGUCUGCCAGGUGUGUGUGAGUGUGUCUGCCAGGUGUGUGUGAGUGUGUCUGUCAGAUGUGAGUGUGUCUGCCAGGUGCAUGUGUGUCUGUCAGGUGAGUGUGUGUCUGCCAGGUGGUGUGUGUGUGUGAGCGUGUGUGUGUCUCUUUGUGUAGGUUCCUGCAGGUUAUCCCGUGUGCCAGUCACACUAGACUUGAGUUGAGUCGAGGAAUCUGAAUAGCCCACCAAUUAGUUUGUCUGAGCUUGGCAUCUGCCUCUCCUCACUUUCCCUGAUACUCUCCCUUAUCCCAACCCACUUUUCCCACAAACUUA